AUGCUGCUGUAGCAGCACAUAUGCUAAAAAAAUCAGAAUGAGACAGAGAAGAUGAGUAUGGCCCCUGCACAAGGGUGACAUACAAAUUUAUGAAACACUUUAUGUUUUU
ensembl:snRNA U6 U6 spliceosomal RNA